GCACCUGAGGAGACGAUGGAGAAGCAGCUUAAAUAGCCUGCUUCUCCCCUCAUUUGGGGCACUCUCAGCCAUGUGGCUCGUGCCGGGAGGGAGCAGAGUGAGAGACAGUCGCGGGAGAAGCCGGGAGCGGGAGCCACGCUGACCUCACCGACGGACCGGACCCGGAGACCCCUCACCCAUUUUUACCGCGUUAAAGACUUUUUGAAGUAAAGAGGAGCAUCUCAUCUGAACCUGAUGUCUAUCAUGGAAAUUUAACUGCAAUUCUGUGAGUAUCCCAACUUAACCAUGAAGAUGAACUGCAAACUGUAAGUCAAAAGUUUCUCAUUACUCUUGGGCACAUUGAUGUAUUUUGGCUUCCUGGUAGGAAUGCGCGAUAUACGAUAUAAACGAUAAAAAAUGGCCUACGAUAAAGAUUUUAGUUAUAUUGCUCUAUCCAUGACCUGCGAAAUUUAAAAAGAGCCACGAGCUGCAACCAGCUGCAUUGCAUCAUCCGUGACCCGCGAAAUUUAAAGAGCCACGAGCUGCAACCGGCUGCAACGCAUCGUCCGCGACCCGCAAAAUUUAAACAGCCACGAGCUGCAACCGGCUGCAACGCAUCAUCCGAGACCCGUGAAAUUUAAAGAGCCUUGAGCUGCAACCAGCUUCAACGCAUCAUCGUCAUCUAAGCAAAUAUGGCUGAAAGCGACACGGAGGAGCUGGUGAUUGCGCUCAUUUCCUGUUCAUUUUAAAAUUGUAUGCGUUCACUUUGCACUUUUAUGUUUUAAUAUCAAGUAUCUGUGCACACACUUGGAAGAUUUUUCUUUAUUUAAAAUAGCCCUGCCUAAUACUGGCCGUAUUUCCCUAAUUCACAGUAUCUGUUUCUUUAUUAUUUGAGUUUUAUACAUUUAGCAGUUUGGCUUUCCUUAGUCUUAUGUAACCUGUUCUGAAAUGGUUAUAUUAUGAUUUAUAUAUCGUUAUCGCAAUGGGUUGCAAUGUUUAUCGCAAUAUGGAUUUUAGGCCAUAUCGCCCAUCCCUACUUCCUGGUGAGUUAACCCGUUACCUGAAGGUUGAUCUGAGUAGUAAGGAUGUUUUAUUGGUUCAUGGGUUACUUAGGAGUUUGGUUUAUGUUGGUUUUAAUGAUUUGUUGAAAUGGUUACGGGCUCAAAGUUAUUGUUGUAAGAUGGAGUAAUGGGUUGGGUUCUGAUGUCUUUGUCUUCUUUCCAUUACUCUCCUGAGCUCUGCAUCUUCAUCACAUGUGUUGCUUUACUGAUGAGGGUGUGGUCUGAGUGAGCGGAGGUGCAUACUGGGAUACAGAGCUGUCUGAAGUCUACAGGUCUGUAGACACGCCCCCUCAGGGGAAACCGAGUGUUUGAGAAACCGUUGUGACGUCAGUUACAUGGACUAGAAUGUUCUUUAAGAUGGAGACAGGGAUUCAGAAGGAGAAACACCAGGGGGAGAUGAAGGGGCUCCUCAUCUCAACAGCUAAAACACAACUUCAGUCUGACACAGAGAUCCAUGGAACACAUUCAACAGUCCCCUCCAGACAUCGUGACUCCUCAGGAACAGUUUCAUUUCCAAGAAGGUCUAAAUUGUGGCCUUUACAAGAUGGAUCCUGCUCCUCAAGAGCCACCCCCCUCCACUGGGUGGUCUUCUGAACAGAUGACCUCCUUCCUGUCCUCAGGCUGACUAAAGCUGCACCAUUUGCAUCUGUGAACGUUGAAUCAACCUGGGACACAUUUUGGAGACGCCAAGCAUAAUCCAUCACCAAUGUGGGACGCCACUGAAGAAUGUUGUGCAUAAUUUACUUCUCUGGAGACAUUGGUUGUUCUGUUCUGGGUGCCCUGGCAGGAGAGCUGGGGUUGGAUUAUGGAAUGUUAUUUGGCAUGAGGUUUUUAUCCUGCAUGAUUGUUUGGCCUUUUAUGGUUCAGUGGUGUGUGUUUGGGUUUGUUUUGAGAUGGAUGAUUUUGGAGUAUCGCUAUAGGGUUCUACUGUGUCUCCCACUCACACCUGGCAUGGGGUUCUACGUGCGUGUGUCCGGCUUGCUUUGACAGUGAUAAUGUUCAUACGGGGGUCUGUGUGAUUGGCUUGGGAUAUUGGAAUGGUCAACUAAAUCAUACCUGAUGGACGGCCAACACCCUGGGCAGGAAGGAGAGUAUCCAACUCAAGUGUAAAAGGAUGCAAGCGGCGUGUUCAGAUCAUUGACUUCAAACUAGGACUACACCAAUCUGGAUCAAUGGAGGAUGGACACCUAAAGGAAUUCCAAAAGGAGUCUGAUGUUGGAAAGGGACCUAAAUGGAUAUUCAAGAUAACCUUCACACCUGUAAUGAGACGCCUCUUCCUACCUGGCUGGAUUGAUGGAGAGCCCUGUGGAUCUUGUCUUGCUCUCAGUUGCACGUCUUCUCAGGCUGAACUGUACUUGUUUCGGACAGGACUAGCUGAACGAUUGGUUCCCUUAAAUCAGAACCAAUCUGGGAACUCCAACUAGUGCGCUCUUCGAGCUGAAGUUGUGCUUUUCAGCUGAGGAGGUAAGGAAACCUUCACUGGGGUUUCAAGGUGUAAAGAGGAGGAUGUUUCAAAGUGUUCCAUGGUAUUCUGAUUAAGACCGUUGUUGUGUUCCACUGGCUGAGAGGAAGAACCCUCACAUCUUCCUCCUGGUCUCUCUCCGCUGAGAGUCCUGGCGCCAUCUUGAAGGAUAUUCCUGCUCAUGUAACUGAUGUCACGACAGAUUCUCAAACACUUGGUUUCUCCUGAUGGGCGUGUCUAUAGAACUGAAGACUUCAGAAAGCACUGUAUCCCAGCAUGCAUCUCUGCUCACUCGGAUCACACCCCCAUGAGUAGGAUGCAACACUCUAGUGAUGGAGAUGUAGGGUUUUAUAAGUAACGAGGGAGCAGACAAAGGUGAUUGGAACACAAUGGCAUGUCAAGUCUGUAAAUCUUUAAACCAUGAAGAUGGUUGGAUAGUUCAGGAAUUGGGCUUCUUUUUAUUAUGGGCGGUCCUUUCACUCAGAUGCCCACUUCUCACUGGACCUGUACAUGUGUUGGCUGGCUGGCAUGAUUUGCUGUUGGUGAUGAGGCGGUCAGGGUGAUGUUGCAGGGCUAUGGUCGGCUCUCUGUGAGCUCAACGUUUAGAUUUGCUCUGUAUGUUUUGUUCCUGGAAUAAUCUAGAUAAUUGUAAAAUGUAGACACUGUUUUGUAUUGAAUGAUUUUAGGUUUAAAGUUGUUGUGGGACGUACAUGGUAGUUUGGUUCUUCGUCCGGUUUUGAGUGAUAUAACUUGUGUACACUGGGUGCAUAAUAAUGUAAAGGCACACUGAAUAGUAUUAAUGACCAACCGCAACAAACAGAUCUCCUCAAGGUAAGUCUGUUGGCUGUGUUUUAAUGAAGACCAUCGCUGGACUUCAUGAUCUUCCUCCGUUCAGCUCAAGGUGAGGCGCUGGUUCUGUUUUUUCUUUGGUUGGUUCCGGCCGGAAUGUUCGGAUUCCAGUCGGACGGUUUGUGCUUCCCGCCGUGGAAGCUUCUGAGUGCGGUCACUUGAUUUAGUCCCAAUGGUUAGCAUAGAACGUUGUAGUCUUGACAACCAUAAGAAACCACCUGGCAGUUAGUAGGACGGGAGUCCCCUGAGGGAAUCUGGCGGAACGUUCUGGAUUGUAUUUGCGUAACCUCGAGCCGUUGCCAACGGAAACUAUUUUUCAGUCGUUUCCAUUGCGAAUUGUUCCCUUAUCUUAAACAACUUUAAGUUGGAUUUUAAAUACAUACUGACACGUACGUCGUACAAUAUGUUGAUAAUUUCCGAUGGUUGCAGCGUACUUUUAACCACGAUGACGUGACGGGACUCUCGCUGCGUACAAAACGGCGUUCUACUUGCGGGCCCAUUUUUCGACAUCAGUGAAGGCUGAAAAUCAUUGCAAGGUGGAAGACAAUUUGACGGAAACCAGCACCCGAAUAUGGCUGAGUAUAUUUUAUUUAAUAUCGAUGCUGCUUAGUGUUCUUUGUUACUUCAGCUUUUGUACGUUCUCAAUAUCUGCUGUCAUUAAUUGCAACAUAAGUUAAACCCUACCUAAUGAAAUGACGUUAAACAACGACUUUGGUUCAGAGUUACACUGACAAUAUCUGAUCACGGAUAAUAUCAAAGUUAAAAUAAUGGCCGUCCUUCCCACAUGUUACAGUAGAAGAUACUCUAGAACUGCACAAGGUUAAAAAGGUAACAUGUAGUUUGUCCCAAGGUGUCUGCCUCCUCACCCAGAGCAAGACCUCCACCUCCUCACCCAGAGCCAGACCUCCACCUCCUGCCAGAAGUCCUCCAGAACAGUGAACCUCAGAUGCAGGUGGUGGGGUGUGUUGCGUCCCCAGGUGAUUUACUGCUGAGACCAACUGUGUUUGUAACCAGACCAGGAAACUAUGUCUGGGGGAGCCGAGCUGAUGGAGGAGCCGAGCUGAUGGAGGAGCCGAGCUGAUGGAGGAGCCGAGCUGAUGGAGGAGCCGUGCUGAAGGAGCUGAUGGAGGAGUCGUGCUGAGGGCCCUGCCUGGUGGAGGAGCUGGUGGAGGCCCUGCCUUGUGAAGGACGUCUCAUGGGACCAGGACUCUGUCUGAGGAGAGCUGCUGGAUUCCUCAACGUGUUUCUGGAGCGGAGGCAAGCUGGUAGGGGAGCCGUGAAUCUGGAGGAUGACCAUCACUCUACCAACAAGGAUUACGUUAGGGCCAGUCUCGCGCUGUUUGUUCCAGACCAGGACUCUGGCUGAGGUGAGCUGAUGGAGGAGCCAAGACUCUGGAGGACAACAUCACUCUACCAACCAGGAUCCUCACCAGGAAUCUGGAGGACUGAUGGAGAAGCCGUACAUCUGGAAGGCAAAUCCUGAGGACAAACAGGACUCUACCAUCAAGGAUUCCUUACACACCUGAGCUGAACCUCACCUGAUCCUGUUUGGUCGGGGGUAGACACACCUGAGCUGAACCCGCCCUGAUCCUGACAUCCUGCUGGUCCCGUCUCCUCAGUUCAUCUGCGCCUCGUCCUCCAGAUGACCUGCUGAGCUCAGCAGUCUGAGGCUGAUGGAUCAAUGACCUCCAGUGGGAGUGAUCUUCUUGACCCCACAUGUAACCGUGUGCUUCCACACGCCUUUCCCUCACGUCUGUCACUAACCUCACUACUCCACUACUCUCUACUGCUUCCUCUUCUUCUUCCUUCUCUGUGGUUCGAACCUUUACACCGAAGGCGCGUCUUCCUGCCCUCAGAGGGUUUAUCGUUAGGGUUGAGAGUCAGGGUUUAGAGUCAGGGACAGAGCUGGUCAGGGAGGACUGCUUUUACACAAACCUCUUCACUUCCUGUCGGAAUGGUGGUGACAUUUCGAAAAGAUGCAUUUGGGGAAAUGUUUUCCUCUGCUUUCCUUUACAAAAUUGUAUUAAACAUCUGUCAAGUGUUUUUGUUUAUAUAUUAAAAUCCCACAUUGACUUCUACAUGUUUGGUGCGGUGGCAAGCUGGUAGGGGAGCCGUGAAUUUGGAGGAUGACCAUCACUCUACCAACAAGGAUUACGUUAGGGCCAGUCUCGCGCUGUUUGUUCCAGACCAGGACUCUGGCUGAGGUGAGCUGAUGGAGGAGCCAAGACUCAGGAGGACAACAUCACUCUACCAACCAGGAUCCUCACCAGGAAUCUGGAGGACUGAUGGAGAAGCCGUACAUCUGGAAGGCAAAUCCUGAGGACAAACAGGACUCUACCAUCAAGGAUUCCUCACACACCUGAGCUGAAUCCGCCCUGAUCCUGACAUCCUGCUGGUCCCGUCUCCUCAGUUCAUCUGCGCCUCGUCCUCCAGAAGACCUGCUGAGCUCAGCAGUCUGAGGCUGAUGGAUCAAUGACCUCCAGUGGGAGUGAUCUUCUUGACCCCACAUAACCCACGUAACCGUGUGCUUCCACACGACUUUCCCUCACGUCUGUCACUAACCUCACUACUUCACUACUCUCUACUGCUUCCUCUUUUCUUCCUUCUCUGUGGUUCAAACCUUUACACUGAAGGCGCGUCUUCCUGCCCUCAGAGGGUUUAGCGUUAGGGUUGAGAGUCAGGGUUUAGAGUCAGGGACAGAGCUGGUCAGGGAGGACUGCUUUUACACAAACCUCUUUACUUCCUUUCGGAAUGGUGGUGACAUUUCGAAAAGAUGCAUUUGGGGAAAUGUUUUCCUCUGCUUUCCUUUGCAAAAUUGUAUUAAGCUUCUGUCAAGUGUUGUUUAUAUAUUAAAAUCCCACAUUGACUUCUACUUGUUUGGUGCGGUUCAUUUAAUUGUCCUUUAAGUUGGUUAAUGUCAAGCUAAACUCCUGC
ensembl:lncRNA